rnacentral:rRNA from 1 species
GAUUAAGUUAUUAAGGGCGCACGGUGGAUGCCUUGGCACUAGAAGCCGAUGAAGGACGUUACUAACGACGAUAUGCUUUGGGGAGCUGUAAGUAAGCUUUGAUCCAGAGAUUUCCGAAUGGGGAAACCCAGCAUGAGUUAUGUCAUGUUAUCGAUAUGUGAAUACAUAGCAUAUCAGAAGGCACACCCGGAGAACUGAAACAUCUUAGUACCCGGAGGAAGAGAAAGAAAAUUCGAUUCCCUUAGUAGCGGCGAGCGAAACGGGAAGAGCCCAAACCAACAAGCUUGCUUGUUGGGGUUGUAGGACACUCUAUACGGAGUUACAAAGGACGACAUUAGACGAAUCAUCUGGAAAGAUGAAUCAAAGAAGGUAAUAAUCCUGUAGUCGAAAAUGUUGUCUCUCUUGAGUGGAUCCUGAGUACGACGGAGCACGUGAAAUUCCGUCGGAAUCUGGGAGGACCAUCUCCUAAGGCUAAAUACUCUCUAGUGACCGAUAGUGAACCAGUACCGUGAGGGAAAGGUGAAAAGCACCCCGGAAGGGGAGUGAAAUAGAACCUGAAACCGUGUGCUUACAAGUAGUCAGAGCCCGUUAAUGGGUGAUGGCGUGCCUUUUGUAGAAUGAACCGGCGAGUUACGAUUUGAUGCAAGGUUAAGCAGUAAAUGUGGAGCCGUAGCGAAAGCGAGUCUGAAUAGGGCGUUUAGUAUUUGGUCGUAGACCCGAAACCAGGUGAUCUACCCUUGGUCAGGUUGAAGUUCAGGUAACACUGAAUGGAGGACCGAACCGACUUACGUUGAAAAGUGAGCGGAUGAACUGAGGGUAGCGGAGAAAUUCCAAUCGAACCUGGAGAUAGCUGGUUCUCUCCGAAAUAGCUUUAGGGCUAGCCUCAAGUGAUGAUUAUUGGAGGUAGAGCACUGUUUGGACGAGGGGCCCCUCUCGGGUUACCGAAUUCAGACAAACUCCGAAUGCCAAUUAAUUUAACUUGGGAGUCAGAACAUGGGUGAUAAGGUCCGUGUUCGAAAGGGAAACAGCCCAGACCACCAGCUAAGGUCCCAAAAUAUAUGUUAAGUGGAAAAGGAUGUGGCGUUGCCCAGACAACUAGGAUGUUGGCUUAGAAGCAGCCAUCAUUUAAAGAGUGCGUAAUAGCUCACUAGUCGAGUGACACUGCGCCGAAAAUGUACCGGGGCUAAACAUAUUACCGAAGCUGUGGAUUGUCCUUUGGACAAUGGUAGGAGAGCGUUCUAAGGGCGUUGAAGCAUGAUCGUAAGGACAUGUGGAGCGCUUAGAAGUGAGAAUGCCGGUGUGAGUAGCGAAAGACGGGUGAGAAUCCCGUCCACCGAUUGACUAAGGUUUCCAGAGGAAGGCUCGUCCGCUCUGGGUUAGUCGGGUCCUAAGCUGAGGCCGACAGGCGUAGGCGAUGGAUAACAGGUUGAUAUUCCUGUACCACCUAUAAUCGUUUUAAUCGAUGGGGGGACGCAGUAGGAUAGGCGAAGCGUGCGAUUGGAUUGCACGUCUAAGCAGUAAGGCUGAGUAUUAGGCAAAUCCGGUACUCGUUAAGGCUGAGCUGUGAUGGGGAGAAGACAUUGUGUCUUCGAGUCGUUGAUUUCACACUGCCGAGAAAAGCCUCUAGAUAGAAAAUAGGUGCCCGUACCGCAAACCGACACAGGUAGUCAAGAUGAGAAUUCUAAGGUGAGCGAGCGAACUCUCGUUAAGGAACUCGGCAAAAUGACCCCGUAACUUCGGGAGAAGGGGUGCUCUUUAGGGUUAACGCCCAGAAGAGCCGCAGUGAAUAGGCCCAAGCGACUGUUUAUCAAAAACACAGGUCUCUGCUAAACCGUAAGGUGAUGUAUAGGGGCUGACGCCUGCCCGGUGCUGGAAGGUUAAGAGGAGUGGUUAGCUUCUGCGAAGCUACGAAUCGAAGCCCCAGUAAACGGCGGCCGUAACUAUAACGGUCCUAAGGUAGCGAAAUUCCUUGUCGGGUAAGUUCCGACCCGCACGAAAGGCGUAACGAUUUGGGCACUGUCUCAACGAGAGACUCGGUGAAAUCAUAGUACCUGUGAAGAUGCAGGUUACCCGCGACAGGACGGAAAGACCCCGUGGAGCUUUACUGUAGCCUGAUAUUGAAAUUCGGCACAGCUUGUACAGGAUAGGUAGGAGCCUUUGAAACGUGAGCGCUAGCUUACGUGGAGGCGCUGGUGGGAUACUACCCUAGCUGUGUUGGCUUUCUAACCCGCACCACUUAUCGUGGUGGGAGACAGUGUCAGGCGGGCAGUUUGACUGGGGCGGUCGCCUCCUAAAAGGUAACGGAGGCGCUCAAAGGUUCCCUCAGAAUGGUUGGAAAUCAUUCAUAGAGUGUAAAGGCAUAAGGGAGCUUGACUGCGAGACCUACAAGUCGAGCAGGGUCGAAAGACGGACUUAGUGAUCCGGUGGUUCCGCAUGGAAGGGCCAUCGCUCAACGGAUAAAAGCUACCCCGGGGAUAACAGGCUUAUCUCCCCCAAGAGUUCACAUCGACGGGGAGGUUUGGCACCUCGAUGUCGGCUCAUCGCAUCCUGGGGCUGUAGUCGGUCCCAAGGGUUGGGCUGUUCGCCCAUUAAAGCGGUACGCGAGCUGGGUUCAGAACGUCGUGAGACAGUUCGGUCCCUAUCCGUCGUGGGCGUAGGAAAUUUGAGAGGAGCUGUCCUUAGUACGAGAGGACCGGGAUGGACAUACCUCUGGUGUACCAGUUGUCGUGCCAACGGCAUAGCUGGGUAGCUAUGUGUGGACGGGAUAAGUGCUGAAAGCAUCUAAGCAUGAAGCCCCCCUCAAGAUGAGAUUUCCCAACUUCGGUUAUAAGAUCCCNNGCUGACGA